CGUAUCAGCUCCGAGGGCGAAACGGAAAAGUCUGUCAGAGGGGGCCGUGGGCAGGAGUUCUGCCCCCAUCUCUCUCUCUCGUCGGAAGGGGUUCUCGAACGGUCCUGCACUUUGGAGUUCUAAAGUGAUGGAAAGAAUCGGAGGAGUGGGGUUGCAAUUGGUGAAAAAUGGCAACUUUGGAGAAGGUGAGUCUCCAAGAUUCUCUGUCCCUUCGACCAGAACUGGAUCUCGAAAUACAAGCCCUUCUCGGCAGAAGGUGAUCAAGACCAAGCCUAGGGGUUUUGACGAGGAGACUGUUGCAACAUUUGGUAAAGUCGUUCAUGCUGAUAUCCUGAUGGAAGAUAGCAUAUGGUCUCUAUUGCCCGAGGACUUGCUAAUUGAGGUUCUUGCUAGGGUGCCUCCAUUCUUGGUCUUUAGGCUGAGGUCAGUUUGCAGGCGAUGGAAUUCGAUUCUUCAAGACAGUAGCUUUCUCAAAUCUCACUCGAAAGUUCCUUCACAUGGGCCUUGCCUCAUCACAUUCUGGAAGAACUCGCAAACCCAUCAGUGUUCUGUAUUCAGCCUACCAUUGAAGACUUGGUAUAAGAUCCCAUUUGGUUUUUUACCAGAUUGGGCAUUCUGGUUGGUUGGUUCUUCAGGUGGUCUUGUUUGUUUUUGUGGAUACGAUGGGCUUUGUUUUAAAACCCUUGUUUGCAAUCCCCUAACUCAGACAUGGAGGGCAUUGCCAAACAUGCAUUAUAAUCAGCAAAGGCAGUUGAUCUUGGUUGUUGAUAGGGUGGAUCGUUCAUUCAAGGUGAUUGCGGCAAGUGAUAUAUAUGGAGACAAAACACUGCCUACCGAAGUUUAUGAUUCAAACCUUGACCAUUGGUCUGUUCAUCAGACAAUGCCAGCUGUUAAUCUAUGUUCAUCAAAGAUGGCAUUUUGUGACUCAAGACUAUAUCUGGAGACUCUUUCGCCACUUGGCUUGAUGAUGUAUCAAGUAGAUACAGGGCAUUGGGAACAUAUUCCAGCCAAGUUUCCACGAUCAUUGCUGGAUGGCUAUUUGGUUGCUGGUGCACAAAAGCGUUUGUUUUUGGUUGGAAGGAUUGGACUUUACAGCACUUUCCAAAGCAUGCGAAUUUGGGAGUUGGAUCAUGCUAAGACUGUGUGGGUGGAAAUAAGUAGAAUGCCACCAAAGUACUUCAGAGUUCUGUUGAGAUUAUCAGCUGAAAGAUUUGAGUGUUUUGGGCAGGAUAAUCUUAUAUGCUUUACAUCAUGGAACCAAGGGAAAGGUCUUCUAUAUGAUGUGGAUAAGAAAACUUGGUCAUGGAUUGCUGGCUGUGCAAUCCAGUUGUGUAACAGUCAGGUUUGCUUUUAUGAGCCAAGAUUUGAUGUGCCCAUCUAUUGAGAGGUGAGGCUUCAGUGGCAUGGGGUGGAGGAAGGUUGACAAAGGGUGUUUAUUUGGAGACAAUGACAUUAUUCUUCCUUAUGCCAUAAUUAGGGAUACUGUUCUUGUCGAGAUAAUAACUAAGAGCAACUUAUCUACAUAACUGUAGAAUGUCUAGAAAAGCUGUACUACAGGCAUGCUAUGAUCAUCUGAACAUCGAGGUAUACAGGAAAUAAGUCAACCUAACAGGAUGUGUUUGUAGGAUUGUGGCUGCUGAGGAAGUGUUCUAUUCAAUUGCCGGAUGGCAAAGAAACAUUCUAUUACUGUUUUUGGUAUUACUGGGAUCCAUAAACAUGGGAUUUCUCCUAGGUACCAAGACAAGUGGCUGAACAGAUGCAUGUAAUUCGAUGAAGGUGGCGGUACUAUGGCUUUUCUGAGGCAAUCAGCACUUCCAUCAGUUGACAUUUGUUUGUCUCCUCUGGAAAAGAACUUACCGUAAUUUCACAAUUUUCUUUUGGUCGCAUGUUCUUAUGCAAUUUUGUCUGUUGAGAUUGCAGAUUGGAGUCUGAACUAUUUAUUCAACUUGUGCGCGUCGAUCCAAUCGGAGUGGCACAGCGUCCUGCAUGUAAAUUCUGCAUCGCAGAGGACCCGUGCCCGAUGAGUGCUGCGCGGAUGUGGUGGUUUCCCAAAGAGAUGGUGUGGAGGGCGUGGGGACCGGAGGCUUAAACAGAUGAACCGUUGCUCCCUUUGGAAGUGUGAUCACGUGCAUGGCACACAGUUCUCUUGAGAAACCGCUCGCAGAAUUUAUUGAAAUCAUUAGUUUUUCCAAGGCACUCUUGGAGAGUGAGAUAGGUAUUGUUGGCAAUUGUAAAAUAUUGCAAUUAGCUCUACAUCUAUAUCCAAUCGUUUUGAUUGUCAUAUUAAGUAUGAAUCUUGAUCUUUCUUAAGUGCUCUUUUGCUA